UACGGAGGAUCCAAGCGUUAUCCGGAUUUAUUGGGUUUAAAGGGUGCGUAGGCGGAAUUGUAAGUCAGUGGUGAAAGCCCUUCGCUUAACGAAGGAACUGCCAUUGAUACUGCAAAUCUUGAGUACAUUUGAUGAGGGCGGAAUGUGUCAUGUAGCGGUGAAAUGCUUAGAUAUGACACAGAACACCGAUUGCGAAGGCAGCUCUCAAAACUGUAACUGACGCUGAGGCACGAAAAGCGUGGGUAUCAAACAGG
rnacentral:rRNA from 1 species